AAAGGCGCUGCGUCCUGGCGGCUCUGCGGGGGUUUCGUCGAGGCCCAGCAGGCUUGGGUCGGGAGACCCGGGUGCCGGCGGGGGCCGGGCUGGGAGACGCCACGGCCGCCAUCAGUCACCGAGGUGGGGUGGGAAAGAGAGGUUCGCUGCGGCUUCAAGGUCUGAGCACAGCCAGUGGGCAGCCACAGCAGAGGCCUCCGGUGUCUGCAGGGCAGAGGGCUCGGCCUGUCCCGAGGCCCCCCAGUUCAUCCGCCGGCCCGGGGCCAGAGGGCCCUGAAGGCGCGGGCUGCGUUCUGCGUCUCUCCGCGAUCUCUGCCGGACCGGAACUAAGACCAGACCAUUUUCUUCUGGAAAAAUCAGAAAUUUGUAUUGAUGAAAAAAAAAAGUUGUUCUUGGCCAAAAACAUCAAUCAGCCUCAUCUCCAGAGUGAUCCUCCAAACUCAGGGAGAAUUGCAGUGAAUGACAGUUCCUAUUUCUCAACAUCAUUGUCAGCAUUUGAUGCCGUCAGUGUCCUAGAUUUUGACCAUUAUAAUAGUCAUCCUCCUUAGCCACCUCUGAUGAGUGCAUUGAAGAGGAUGACCUGCUUGGUUAUUCUGCUUCCCGAAUACAAAAAAUUAGGCUUCUGAAAUCAAACAUAAGAAGUCAUUGUUGCUUUUAUUCCAGAGACUGGGUCUCGCUGUGUUUCCCAGGCAGGUCUCUAACUACUGGGCUCAAAUAUCUGUCUGCUGCAGCCUCCCAAAGUGAUGGGAUUAGAGGCAUUAGCCACCCCACCCAGCCUCAACCAAGGUUAAAUCUUAAUAAUGGCUUUUUUAUAAUUUUUAGACAAUAUACUUUUUAUAAUUUUCUGUUUCUAAUUUAUUUUUCUAACAAGAAUACAUUAACGUUAUAGUCUUGAAGUGCUCAUUAAAUUUUAUAAAAUAAAUGUUAUUAAGCAUAA
ensembl:lncRNA LINC02211 long intergenic non-protein coding RNA 2211